rnacentral:rRNA from 1 species
UUUCCCUCAGGAUAGCUGGCACUCGCUUGAGCGAGUCUCAUCUGGUAAAGCGAAUGAUUAGAGGCCUUGGGGCCGAAACGACCUCAACCUAUUCUCAAACUUUAAAUGGGUGAGAUCUCUGGCUUGCUUGAACGUAUUUUAAUGAAGCCAUGAGAUUUUUAUAGAAAUGGAUCAGAGUGCCAAGUGGGCCAAUUUUGGUAAGCAGAACUGGCGCUGUGGGA